UACGGAGGGUGCAAGCGUUGUUCGGAAUCAUUGGGCGUAAAGCGCGUGUAGGCGGCCGGGUAAGUCUGAUGUGAAAGCCCGGGGCUCAACCCCGGAAGUGCAUUGGAUACUGCCUGGCUAGAGUCCGGUAGGGGGUAGCGGAAUUCCCGGUGUAGCGGUGGAAUGCGUAGAUAUCGGGAGGAAUACCGAUGGCGAAGGCGGCUACCUGGGCCGGUACUGACGCUGAGGCGCGAAAGCUAGGGGAGCAAACAGG
rnacentral:rRNA from 1 species